UUGCUGGUACACCGACGAAGUCGGGUGCCGACGAAAUCAACUGUUUUUAUGGCCGACGAAAUCGGGUGCUGACCUUGGUGUCGACGAAACCAACUGUUUUUACCACCGACGAAAUCGGGUGUCGUAAAAAUCAUCCUUCAUAAAUACCAACUAAAUCUGGUGCCUUCCAAAUCAUUUGUAUUGUCAACCUAUUUAAUCGGCUGGCUCAUAGACAUCAUCUAGAUCGACGUAUCAAUCGACAGAUUAAGUAGUGUUUAUAUACCGAUUUAAUCGGGAUUGUGGAUGAUAGAUUACAUUUGUUUAGUGUAGUGUUUACUUUUGCAGCUGUUGUGUUUAUAGAACAAAAAUUAUUAAAAUUAGUGAAUAUCCAAGUGAAUAUCUAUAUUUUUAAGACGACUCCCAUGCCUGGAUCUUGCAAAUCGCACCUUUUAGCACAUCAACACCGGGACCUAAGGCUUUUCGUUUCGAGGAAGGCGUGAUCAAACAUUUUCCGUUCUAACUCAUGCUAAUAGGGCCGAUCAGAAUCCCGGGAUACUAUCAGCAUAGUAUGGUAUAACACUGAAUCAACAAUUUGACGCCAAACACACAGUUCGAGGCCGCAUCUCUCCAUCCUCGAAUGCACCCACGCUCGCCAAGUCGUUUUGCACCUGGUCUGCACACCUUGCUCGCUGUGCUCGACGCCGUCUAGUACCUGACAGAUAGGAAGCAAACACCAUCCUUUCUAAACAACUUAACCACCCGUUAUCA